rnacentral:rRNA from 1 species
CCGGUCUGAACUCAGAUCACGUAAGAAAUCAUUGGUCGAACAGACCAUCCUCUAUAAGGGCUUCCCUAUAGAUAGUUCUUAAUCCAACAUCGAGGUCGUAAUUUAUUUUAUCAAUAAGAUCUUUCUAAAAAUUUUACGCUGUUAUCCCUUAGGUAAUUAAGUUUAUUUCAUAGUUGGGUAAUUUAUUCCACUCUUUAGUGUGAGAUUAAUAUAAAAAGAUUUUGGUAGUUUUAAAUCUCCCCAAUUUAAUAGUUCUUUUAGUUUUUUAAAAAAGGAACCAUAAAAUUCUAAAGGGUCUUCUUGUCUUUUAAUCUAAUCUGAGAUUUUUCACUUAGAUAUUAAUUUUUACUUAUUAAGUGGUAAAUAGUUGAUUUUUCAUUAUUCCAUUCAUUCCAGCUUUUAAUUAGAAAGCAAUUUAUUAUGCUACCUUAGUACAGUUAAUUUACUGCAGCUAUUUAAUAUAAAUCAUUGAGCAGGAUUUAUCUAAGAUUUAAUUUCCUUACACUAUGUUUUUGUUAAACAGGCG